rnacentral:rRNA from 1 species
UUUUUAAGUUUUAAUGUGAAAGCCUUCGGGCUCAACCGAANAAAGUGCAUUGGAAAACUGGGAGACUUGAGUGCAGAAGAGGACAGUGGAACUCCCAUGUGUAGCGGUGAAAUGCGUAGAUAUAUGGAAGAACACCAGUGGCGAAGGCGGCUGUCUGGUCUGCAACUGACGCUGAGGCUCGAAAGCAUGGGUAGCGAACAGGAUUAGAUACCCUGGUAGUCCAUGCCGUAAACGAUGAUUACUAAGUGUUGGAGGGUUUCCGCCCUUCAGUGCUGCAGCUAACGCAUUAAGUAAUCCGCCUGGGGAGUACGACCGCAAGGUUGAAACUCAAAAGAAUUGACGGGGGCCCGCACAAGCGGUGGAGCAUGUGGUUUAAUUCGAAGCUACGCGAAGAACCUUACCAGGUCUUGACAUCUUCUGACAGUCUAAGAGAUUAGAGGUUCCCUUCGGGGACAGAAUGACAGGUGGUGCAUGGUUGUCGUCAGCUCGUGUCGUGAGAUGUUGGGUUAAGUCCCGCAACGAGCGCAACCCUUAUUACUAGUUGCCAGCAUUAAGUUGGGCACUCUAGUGAGACUGCCGGUGACAAACCGGAGGAAGGUGGGGACGACGUCAAAUCAUCAUGCCCCUUAUGACCUGGGCUACACACGUGCUACAAUGGAUGGUACAACGAGUCGCGAGACCGCGAGGUUAAGCUAAUCUCUUAAAACCAUUCUCAGUUCGGACUGUAGGCUGCAACUCGCCUACACGAAGUCGGAAUCGCUAGUAAUCGCGGAUCAGCAUGCCGCGG